AUUGAACGCUGGCGGCAGGCCUAACACAUGCAAGUCGAGCGGAUGAGAGAAGCUUGCUUCUCGAUUCAGCGGCGGACGGGUGAGUAAUGCCUAGGAAUCUGCCUGGUAGUGGGGGACAACGUUUCGAAAGGAACGCUAAUACUGCAUACGUCCUACGAGAGAAAGCAGGGGACCUUCGGGCCUUGCGCUAUCAGAUGAGCCUAGGUCGGAUUAGCUAGUUGGUGAGGUAAUGGCUCACCAAGGCGACGAUCCGUAACUGGUCUGAGAGGAUGAUCAGUCACACUGGAACUGAGACACGGUCCAGACUCCUACGGGAGGCAGCAGUGGGGAAUAUUGGACAAUGGGCGAAAGCCUGAUCCAGCCAUGCCGCGUGUGUGAAGAAGGUCUUCGGAUUGUAAAGCACUUUAAGUUGGGAGGAAGGGUUGUAGAUUAAUACUCUGCAAUUUUGACGUUACCGACAGAAUAAGCACCGGCUAACUCUGUGCCAGCCGCCGCAGUAAGAC
rnacentral:rRNA from 1 species